GAUGAACGCUGGCGGCGUGCCUAAUACAUGCAAGUCGAGCGAACAGACGAGGAGCUUGCUCCUCUGACGUUAGCGGCGGACGGGUGAGUAACACGUGGAUAACCUACCUAUAAGACUGGGAUAACUUCGGGAAACCGGAGCUAAUACCGGAUAAUAUAUUGAACCGCAUGGUUCAAUAGUGAAAGACGGUUUUGCUGUCACUUAUAGAUGGAUCCGCGCCGCAGUAGCUAGUUGGUAAGGUAACGGCUUACCAAGGCAACGAGGCGUAGCCGACCUGAGAGGGUGAUCGGCCACACUGGAACUGAGACACGGUCCAGACUCCUACGGGAGGCAGCAGUAGGGAAUCUUCCGCAAUGGGCGAAAGCCUGACGGAGCAACGCCGCGUGAGUGAUGAAGGUCUUCGGAUCGUAAAACUCUGUUAUUAGGGAAGAACAAAUGUGUAAGUAACUAUGCACGUCUUGACGGUACCUAAUCAGAAAGCCACGGCUAACUACGUG
rnacentral:rRNA from 1 species